GCAUCGGUGGUUCAGUUGUAGAUUGCCUGUCUUCAAUGCACGUGGUGCGGGUUCAAUUCCCUGCCAAUGCA
rnacentral:tRNA from 1 species